CUUUCAAUGUGUGAAAUACCAGAUAAUCGUGUCGGCUGCUAAAAUGGUGGAUUGCAGCAAACGUCAGCCAUGAAUAUUAGAAGAUAACAAAAGUUGGUUGAAUCACAGGAUAUCUGCAUAUUAAAGGUAGCGAACGACAACAACUGAAAUGUAUUUGAAUUGAAAUAAGCAAAGCAGAGAUUAAAACACAAGGUACUUUUUGACAUUGUCAUCUGAUAAGACAUAUCUGCACUGUUUGUAUUAGUAUCUCACCUGUGAGGCACUGAUACCUGAUGGGUCAAAAUGAUAAUAAUGAAUAAUAAACAGUACCGUGAAUUCUA